rnacentral:rRNA from 1 species
UCACUCGUCUGAGCGAGGGACGGCCGGCUCGCGAUAGAAUGGAAUGCGUGCGUCGGGAGGAGGCUAGCGCGCCCUGUUAGUUUCGGCCGGCUCGUGCUACCUCGCCCACACCCUGAGCCCCGCCGCCUACUCGGCCUCGUAGUCGGCGCCGUACCCCCGCCUCUUGACCCCGCAGCUGCUCCGCAAGGACGUGCCGCCGCCGCCCUCGUCCCGGCCGCGGCUGCUGCUGCUCCUCCGCGACGCCACCCGGCGGUAGCUCGCGGACGGGUGGAUGUCGGCGUACUCCUGGCGGUAUAAGAGCCGGCUCCGUGUCCCGUUCCCCGUCGUCGUCGUCAUGUUCCUCCACCUGCACGCCUCCGAGCUGCAGUCGCUGGCCGUGCUCAAGUAGCUCGCGCAGAAGGCGCAGCGGCUGCUCCUGUUGGUCGCGAAGGAGGUCUUCGACGCGCUGGCGUAGCUGUCCCACCCGUAGCUCGAGGGCUGCCACCUCCACGCCAAGCUCGCAGACUGCCACGUCCGCGCCACGGUGCACCCGUCGGCGCGCGACGGCUGCGACGAGUUGCGCCGCGCGUUGUAGCGCCUCCCGCGGGACCCCGAGGAGCCCCACGCCGACUCGGCCGUCCGCUGUGAGUGGUAGGAGUUCCUGUAGAGCCCGCGGCAGGCCGGGAGCUCCUACUGCGACGACGACCCGGGCGGCAGCAGCCCCUUCUGCUGGGACGACGACCGGGACCGGCCGUUCGACCUGGGCAGAGACCGCGCGCCGCCGCUCCACCGGAUGUUGCCCAAGGGCGACCUGCUCAAGCACGGCGUCUUCUGCCGCCGCAUGUAGUCGGUCUGCCUGCACGUGCAGCCGCUCUACUGGCAGUUCCUCUGCGAGCUGAAGAGCCGGUCCACGGUCCCGCAGCCGUGGUUCAUGCUAGAGGACUGGCUCGACCGCUCCUCCCUCUUCCUCCGGCCGUAGGCCGGCCUCGGCCUCCAACUGGAAAAAUACUUCCGGUGAAGCUACCUCCCUCACCUCUCGUCGGAGGUCUGCCUGAUGUGGGAGUCCUAUGACCCCGACCUGUAUACGCGCCUGUGGUAGCAGCCGCUGGUCUACGUCUCCCCGUAUAGGCCGCCGGUCUUCUUCGCGCAGUGGUGGCCUCUCUACUAACAGCCAGGCUGUUUCCACGAUAAGUACCUACUCUAUAGCUGACCCAAUCUGUCGAGGUGGUGGAAAGUCUAACAGUUUACAGACGUCGUCUAACACGUGAACCCGCUCCGGUGGUAGGAGUACAGGGAGGAGGUCGGUCGGGGACUCUGGAAACUUGAGAAACUACUGUAGUAGGAUGACAGUCUUCCGGUCUAACAAAUAGUCCCUGGGGCACUAACACAGGAACUUAAGAAACUCAGGACACCGAAAGCGACGGGUCUCGCGUUCCCGUGACGUCUGAAAGAAGUUCUCCACUGUAGUUUCUUCCUAGUCCUCGUCAUGACCCGACUGUUCGUCUCUGGCAUGGCUAUACAAAGUCAGAGUCUUAAACGCGUCUGCAAAUUUGCCAAAGUACAACCUGAUGUUGAGCUCUUGGUAGAGAGUCACGGUAAACUGUUCUCGGCGUCGGUAGUCCGACGGGACCAUAAGAGGUUCGUGAGCCAUAGUUGAGCUCUCGAGGAGUUCCGUAGGAAACUGUUCCUCACCGAGGAGUAUUUCGCGUUGAGUAAACAUAUGUAGAAGUUCUGGUAUGUCGAGUAAUAACAUCGGGAAUAGCGCAGUUGUCAGAAAGAUUCCUGAGUCUACGUGUGUUCCUUAGACCUACUACCAAAACAGAUGCACCCUCGUGACGAAAAAUGAGACUAACACUUGUACAAGUUACCAAAACGGCUCGAGGGAAACUGGUAGUGUUCCAACGGCCACAAGAAGUUCGUGGCCCUGGAGGAGAAGAUGGGACGAACCUAUAAGUGUGAUGGCUUACAGCAAGAGUCUUAGGGUAAAAGUUACUAGCUUAGGUAUCAUACCCACCAACAGUGUAUGAUGUGAUACCCUAAACGGGGUCUUCGACUGUCUAAGAAGUUCGUCAACGAGGAACACAAGAACUAGGUCGUCUACCGACCACCCGAAAAGUCUCGUUAACGACCGGAAACAUCUAGGUACUAGUAACGAGUUUGGCCUCCUCGGGACAAGGAAGAGUAGAAGAAACAGGAACCUCCUAAAGAAGACGGUUUUCUGAAGUAGGGUUUUACCACCUAGACCCCGAUAACCUAAAGUGGCGACCACAUACCUAUAUUACGAGAUCGUCACUUACUUAAGAUAAGAGGAGCCACCUACCUGUUCAAACAUUACCUGUUCUUACCACAAGGAUUUUCUGAUCCAUACCGAUACGAACUUCCGCGGUUGUAAAAAUGACUGUUUUUGACCAAGACCUAACCUCGUCGUCCCGACAAUCCAAAGUGUUAGAAGAAGUUACACGAGAAAUGAAACACGGAGUGCAUAGACCUAGGGAACCCGUUUGGUGUUCGACAAUAUAGACUUCUUUGACGUUUCCUUCGUCUUCUGUUACCCGAAGGCUCUCUCUGUCAUUCGUUACCGUCGUGUUCUUCUUUACCGUCGUACUUUAGCUUCCUACCCAGGUUAUUGUUCCUUUACUCUCUCUACUCUGACUCACGAGCAAACUCGUUAUCAAGUAGUUUACCUUAAAGAUUACCCUAAAGUGCUCAGUACAGGCAACCGUCGUUACUUCGACGAGGUUCUUCUCCUUACCAAGAAGGUAAGAGGGGAGAUAGAUACACAAAACUACUACACUUGAUGAUACAGCUGUACGGACGUCUUUACUUUGUCGUUCCUCACUGACUACUAUCCGAGGUUAACAAUGCACUACAAUGACCUAGUAAAUCUGGACCUCACGAUUGUCGUGAGUACCCUCAGUCACCUCGUCCUUUCUGGUGAGAAUACCUACAAAAUCGACCUUCUUUCUGACCACCAAUGUAACUUCCUCUAUAGUCUUAAAGACCAAUAGGCUUCUUGGUUCGUUGUAAACGUUCCUAAAGACCGAUAACACUCGUUUUACUAUAGGUAAGUGGAGUCCAGUGCUAAUCCCUUAGAGACUAUAUGAGGCGGAAGGACGCAGAAGGACUUUUCUAGCCUCUAGUUCUAUAGUGACUACUUUAGUUCUAAGUUAAACAACUACUUCAAUACCUCAAUCACCUCGAGCUGUUAGACUUCCUACGAAAUCAACCUGACGGUCCUUAAAGUCCAGAAAGUUGUCUCGUUUCUUUCUCCAAUUGUUAUCGACACCUCGAACAGCGUUUAGGUAGCUAGUAGAAGUACCUACUUGGCUGUAGUCCAGAACUACGUUCUCGUCGUCGUUAACAGUACUCUUGUCACUCCUUGUGACAACUGUGACCUGCCUGUCACCAAACGUGUUAGGUGGUCGGUUCGUAACUGUAGAAACUUCGAAAACUACUCAAUGAUAAUGACUUUUCUCCUCCGGUCCAUUAUAUGAGACCCUUUGACCCAGCGUUGAGUGUCUUUUACUGACUUAUGAAGCUCCGCUAAGGACCUCACGGAUUUUAGUUUCUAUUCAUGUUGGGACGUUGCACCUACGAACUCCAGUCAAGUCAACGACGUCUUCAUGCGGACUCAUACCUAAAACGACUGAUGAUGUCCUGAAGUCUAGACAUGUUCGUUUUGUUCCAUAACCACUCGGUCGAUUCAGCUGGUCUUGGUCCUUGUAGUCUAGACAUAAAAGGAUGUCUUAUGAGCGUUAGGUAAUAUCCCGUCAAGUUUCGGACGGAGACCUUCGUAACCGACUGGAUAACCGCGUCGGGUCUAAUGUUGGAACAGUCUAAAAGGAAGUGAAACAAGUGUCGGAACGACGACCCGAGGUAGAAAACCUUCUAACCGUGGUUAUACCCCCUACGGUUAUGAGAAUCUUACCAGUAACCUCGUUACAUGUGUCGUCACUACAAACAGCCGUAGUUGUUGACACGUUGGCAAGUUGGUUAACAAAGUUAGCUCUCUUGUCAAAAGAUGGCUCUCUCCCGACGACCCUACAUGAGACGUGACGGUAUACGGUAACGAGUCCAACAGUACCUCUAUGGAAUACAGAAGCAGGUUUGGAGCAUAAUGUGGGAGUAGCAUAUGCGGUACUACUCGAAGGUCACCUGUCGACAGUUCAAGAAGACCAAGAAGAAGCAGAGGAUGAAAAGGAAGGAGAUGAAGUGGAUGAUGCCCUACUACUGACAUAGUUAGAGUGGUUUGGUACUCCAACGUCCGUAGAAGCGGCGUCGAAAGAUAAGGGAUAAGUUGGAAAAGAGACCGAAGAAGUAGGGUUCUGGCUUUUAGGGGUUUACCACCUAGACCAUGAUGACCUAAACGGGUAACCGUACCUGUCACAUACCCGAGUAUCACUGUGUUAUGCCUCUGUACCUUCUGUAGUAGUGGCAGGGUCCGGUUAGAUUGGUCUGUUAGUCGAUGAUGUAUUGUGUAGUAAAACCUAUGGUGUCCUCGAAGUACCGCCAGCAACGUGGCCACGAACACGAGAAACGUCACAAGAAGCGAAAGUACAUACGAGAGACGGAGUUCUUCAACUUGAAAGUUUGUGCCAUCCUCGCCUUUCGGUUGUCUGUUCUAGAGUGUCCGUUAUACCAGCUAAAAAGAACUAGGUUGAGAAGAAAACAGGAAGGUAAAAACCCAGAUAAAUACACGGUCACAUUUAUGUCCACAUCAAAAAACCUAAGGAAUGUAUCAGUUUAUGCUACUCCCACGUGGUCGGAAAGUCCGAACCUUCACAUAACGUAACGUUUAAACGUUCUGACGCUACUCGUCUUAAACAAGUACCGGAUAUUUAUGUAACCUCAAAAAAGAAAGUGUUCAAGUGUUGGCUAAAACAGAUCGUCAUUCCUAUCGUCGGAAACCCGAAAGAUUUACCACUUAUAAAAGAAGAAAAAAGACAAUGGUGUUACCUUCAAAUUUAAAAC